rnacentral:ncRNA from 1 species
GCCUUGGUAUGGAAACCUACCAAGUGAUAACUUUCAAAUUCAGAGAAACCCUGGAAUUAAAAAUGGGCAAUCCUGAGCCAAAUCCCGUUUUAUGAAAACAAACAAGGGUUUCAGAAAGCGAGAAUAAAUAAAGGAUAGGUGCAGAGACUCAAUGGAAGCUGUUCUAACAAAUGGAGUUGGCUGCAUUGUGUUCGUAGUAAAGGAAUCGAAACUUCCGAAAGGAUGAAAGAUAAACUAUAUACAAAAGAUAAACUAUAUACAUAUGUAUACUUACUGAAAUACUAUCGCCAAAUAAUUCAAAAUGAUUAAUGACGACUCCGUCCGCUAAAUCUUUUUAUUUUUAAAAAUUUUUAAAUCGGAUAAGAAUAAAGAUAGAGUCCCAUUCUACAUGUCAAUAUCGACAACAAUGAAAUUUAUAGUAAGAGGAAAAUCCGUCGACUUUAGAAAUCGUGAGGGUUCAAGUCCCUCUAUCCCCAAAAAGACCCGGUUGCCUCCCUAA